CCUACGGGGGGCUGCAGUGAGGAAUAUUGGUCAAUGGGCGCGAGCCUGAACCAGCCAAGUAGCGUGAAGGAUGACUGCCCUACGGGUUGUAAACUUCUUUUAUAAAGGAAUAAAGUGAGGCACUUGUGCCUUUUUGUAUGUACUUUAUGAAUAAGGAUCGGCUAACUCCGUGCCAGCAGCCGCGGUAAGACGGAGGAUACGAGCGUUAUCCGGAUUUAUUGGAUUUAAAGGGAGCGUAGAUGGGUUGUUAAGUCACGUGUGAAAGUUCGCGGCUCAACCGUAAAAUUGCAAUGGAUACUGGCAGUCUUGAGUACAGUUGAGGUAGGCGGAAUUCGUGGUGUAGCGGUGAAAUGCUUAGAUAUCACGAAGAACUCCGAUUGCGAAGGCAGCUUACUAACCUGCCACUGACGUUGAUGCUCGAAAGUGUGGGUAUCAAACAGGAUUAGAUACCCGGGUAGUC
rnacentral:rRNA from 1 species